UCCGGGAAACCUGGGCUAAUACCGGAUAACAUUUUGAACCGCAUGGUUCGAAAUUGAAAGGCGGCUUCGGCUGUCACUUAUGGAUGGACCCGCGUCGCAUUAGCUAGUUGGUGAGGUAACGGCUCACCAAGGCAACGAUGCGUAGCCGACCUGAGAGGGUGAUCGGCCACACUGGGACUGAGACACGGCCCAGACUCCUACGGGAGGCAGCAGUAGGGAAUCUUCCGCAAUGGACGAAAGUCUGACGGAGCAACGCCGCGUGAGUGAUGAAGGCUUUCGGGUCGUAAAACUCUGUUGUUAGGGAAGAACAAGUGCUAGUUGAAUAAGCUGGCACCUUGACGGUACCUAACCAGAAAGCCACGGCUAACUACGUGCCAGCAGCCGCGGUAAUACGUAGGUGGCAAGCGUUAUCCGGAAUUAUUGGGCGUAAAGCGCGCGCAGGUGGUUUCUUAAGUCUGAUGUGAAAGCCCACGGCUCAACCGUGGAGGGUCAUUGGAAACUGGGAGACUUGAGUGCAGAAGAGGAAAAGUGGAAUUCCAUGUGUAGCGGUGAAAUGCGUAGAGAUAUGGAGGAACACCAGUGGCGAAGCGACUUUCUGGUCUGUAACUGACACUGAGGCGCGAAAGCGUGGGGAGCAAACAGGAUUUAGAUACCCUGGUAGUCCACGCCGUAAACGAUGAGUGCUAAGUGUUAGAGGGUUUCCGCCCUUUAGUGCUGAAGUUAACGCAUUAAGCACUCCGCCUGGGGAGUACGGCCGCAAGGCUGAAACUCAAAGGAAUUGACGGGGGCCCGCACAAGCGGUGGAGCAUGUGGUUUUAAUUCGAAGCAACGCGAAGAACCUUACCAGGUCUUGACAUCCUCUGAAAACCCUAGAGAUAGGGCUUCUCCUUCGGGAGCAGAGUGACAGGUGGUGCAUGGUUGUCGUCAGCUCGUGUCGUGAGAUGUUGGGUUAAGUCCCGCAACGAGCGCAACCCUUGAUCUUAGUUGCCAUCAUUAAGUUGGGCACUCUAAGGUGACUGCCGGUGACAAACCGGAGGAAGGUGGGGAUGACGUCAAAUCAUCAUGCCCCUUAUGACCUGGGCUACACACGUGCUACAAUGGACGGUACAAAGAGCUGCAAGACCGCGAGGUGGAGCUAAUCUCAUAAAACCGUUCUCAGUUCGGAUUGUAGGCUGCAACUCGCCUACAGAAGCUGGAAUCGGUUGUAAUCGCGGAUCAGCA
rnacentral:rRNA from 1 species